GCCCAGGUGGCGGAAUUGGUAGACGCGCUAGUUUCAGGUACUAGUGUCUUAACUGACGUGGAGGUUCGAGUCCUCUCCUGGGCACCA
rnacentral:tRNA from 1 species